GUAUAGGUUUAAUGACUGCGCGCGAGCGACAAUCUUUAAAAGACAUUCUGUAACUUUAUAGUGUAUAUGAAAACAUAGCCAUUUGAAAGAAAAGUAAGCAGGGGAAGAAUAACCAAUCCCCCCAACCGCAUUGCUGCGAGGGGUUCUCACUUUUUUCAAAGCAAGCAGGGGAAGGGCGGGUGAGGCCCAGUCCCCCCAACCGCAUUUCUGCGAGGGGUUUACUUUUCUUUCAAAGACUACAAGAGGUGCACAAGAGAAGAUAAAUAGAUUUCGGAGCGAGCACAUGCCCCGGUGAAGGGCCAGCAUCAGAACCGAUUUCGUAUUCAAUAAUGAUCCUUCCGCAGGUUCACCUACGGAAA
rnacentral:misc_RNA from 1 species